CUUUUAUGUAUAUAUAUAUAUAUGUAACAGCUAAACUGUUUGAGUAGGGCUUAUAUAAUCCAUCUGUUAAUGAAGAACAGGAGAAGGAGAUUUUAGUCUUUGUUGGAGCCAUAAUAUAAGAUUGUUGGUUCGUAUUACUAUCAAAGCCUUAAAUAUAUGAGUAGCCUCAGUGAUUAGAUGAUAGAACUUUAUUACUUACCUAUUGCUUUAUUCCUGGCGGUAGCUUUCCGUAUAUUGUGUUUCCCUUUGGGAAAGAGUUUUGUUAAGUUGCCAUUCCAGACAUUCUGCUUAGUUAUGUUUUCAGUGUAAGUUGAAAAUCAAAUCACAAUUUUGAGGUAGUGAGAGUCAGGCCUUGCAUGGGGAGUUUUGGGAACAGCUCCUUGAAAGAGGAACGGAUAUUGCAUGGACUGACAGAAAUUUUUCUUGAUAACUAAAUCUGCUUAAAAUAUAUAUGUAACUCAUUGUGGUAAUUUGACUCAUAGCACUGCAUUGCAUUCCAUAAGGAGAAGGCUUUUUUCCCUUCCAUUAUAUUUUUAGCAUUUCUUGACUUCAGCAACUUCUGCUUCAGAUAGCUUUUUAUGAUGAGGAGGUAAAAUGAAACAAAGCUUUACACUGAAGCAACCCUUGUAGGAGUAAUAGCAUGUUUCCACUUUUUUUGCCAAUCUAUGAAGAUAUCUCAGUUUUGUUUAAAAAGUUCCAAAGUAUAUUUUCAGUUCAGUAUAAUCUUCAGUGCUUAGAUUUGGUUUAAUAUUUUGAUAAUUAGAGGUGCAUGUCUCUGGUCCAUAAGAGCUGUCUGCUACCUGCUUCAUUCAAACCUUUCCCUAAAUAGGACAGUGUCCUCAUUGCACUUUUGUUCUUAUUCUGUUCUGUCUUACCUGUCUUCAUAUCAUAUUUUCUCCCAUUAAAUAAACUUGCCUGUGUAAACCAUGAUACUUCAAUAGCAAUAUAUUUCAUGAUAAUCUGAAACAAGUUUCUAGAAAACUUAGAAAAAUUCUAUUCUAUUUGUUUCACAUUGUCUGAACAGGUUACCCCAAAUUUUGAAACACUGGGUUUUAUAGUAUUAAUAU